AAUUCAGUAGAAGCGUUACCAAACUCUCAAAACCCUUCAGAAUCUUGGGGCUUUAAUGGUGAAUGCGUUCCAGAAAUUGGAAGAGAGAAUGUACGGUGUGCUUUGCAAUAGUGAGAAAUCAUCAACAAAAGCGGCUGUGGAUGCUUUUGCUGAGAUGGGUGUUCAAGUUACCGUUGAAGAUUUUGUGCCUUUCAUGGGCAUGGGCAUGCUGAUAAAUUUUAUGAAGUAAUGAUUAAGCCAGAUACAUGAAAUAUCGAUAAGAAGAAAAACAAAAGAAAAGAAUUAUCAAGAAUCUCUGUCCAGUCCCCUCCAUGGGAACUUUGUUAUUGGAGCAAGCUUCUUAUGUGUUGCUGCUGCUGCUAAGGGUGUUGAAGGAUUUGAUGCCGAGGCUGCAAAGAAGAGGUUCUUUGAGAUAUAUUUAUUAAAGGUGAUUGAAAUUUCAUAUAUUUACGAAUAUCUACUCUCAAAGCAGAUUCCACUGGGCAAUCAUUUGUAGUAUGCAAACCGUUUAUGGCAUAGGUGUCCCUGGUGCCUUUGAACUUUUCUCUCAGGUUUUGAUGCAAUUGUAUCUGCGGAUGCCUUUAAAAGUUUGAAGCCUGCUCCUGAUACUUUCUUGGCUGCAUCACGGAUUCUUGAUAUUCCCACUAGUGAGGUAGAUUCCAGGAUGUGCAAUGCUGUAUUGCUACCACCCAUCACAAUUUUUUUUCUUUUUAGACACUUUUAUGUGGGUGGUAUGUGGUACUAACCUGAUGAGAAAUUUACAUUCAAAUUCUGUUUGACUGAGAGUUCCCUACAUUAUUAUCCAUUAGUGACUGUAAUAAUCAGAUGAAGCUAGCUGGAAAACAAAAUUUAUGCAAAGAAGAUACUACAAACUUGAUAAAUAUAUUGGCAACUUUUAUGUUGAAUAUUAUAUUCCUGGAUGGAAAAGAGAUUCUCUAUUGUCAUUCUAUCAGUCGGAACAGUUUUUCUAAAUAUGGAUAUAAAAAUGGGGGUGCAUUAUGAAUUGCUGAAGGUUCAUCUUCAAGUAUGAUGAAGUUUUGAAGUGUUAAAGUAGAUCAGUGUCCUGUUUGUCGAUCUUGGUAGACAUUAUCAUAAUCCUGUAUGUUGACAGUGUAUUGUGAUUGAAGAUAAAUUAGCUGGAGUACAAGCUGCCAAAGCUGCGAAAAUGAGGUAUUUGUGUUUGAGUGCCUUUCCUUUAUAUAGUUGGACUAUGUACAAUCGUUCAAAGUUGUUAAUAUCACCAACCCUACUUGAACUUUCCUUCAUUUGUUCUGUCAACUGAAUCAGUAAGCUGUAUCAGCAUCAUUCUAAUGUACCUCUUUGCCUCUGUUUUUAGCGAUCAUUUUGAUUCCAUUUUUUCUACAUUCAUAAAUAUGUUGACUUACUUGCAAAUGUAUAGCUGUGACGACAACACUAUCAGAAGAUACUCUAAAGCAGCGGAGCCCACACUUAUCAGAAAGGAGAUAAGCGAUAUUUCACUUGAAAAUAUCCUCGAUGGUGGCUCUGGUAGCCAUAGUAUGUAGUGCACCAACAUGUUAGGAACUUCCCUUUUCGUGUACACCAUUGACAAAUGCAGAAUACUGAAGCUCUUUUGUGUUAUUUAUGGAAAAACUUGCGAGUAAGCUCUUUUUUGUAAUGACUAUAACUUGUUGGAGGAUAUCCUGUUCUCUGCUCCCUUAAGCUGUAUGUUUUAGCUGCUAAUUGUUGUCUUUUACUAAGUUGAUGGAAAUUUGCUAGUUCUAGUGUUCCUCUAGCUUAUCAUGUGUGGUCAAUAGUGGCUCCCUUUCUAUGCUUACUAUAAAAUGAAUCUAAUGAUGACAGACAAUGCAGAUGUGAUGGUGCAGGAAUCUCAAUCCAUUAAUGAUCUAGCUCUCUUCCACUAAAUCCAAUAUGACGGAGUAUCCCAGAGCUGGAUAAUUAUCCAACAAGUGAAGCCUAGCAUGCUAUGUCAGAAAAUGCUUGGAUUUCAACUGACAAGUCUUGGUGCUUUCGAUGCUGAAGAAACAGUAAUGCUCACACGCAACCUUGACCAAAGCUUCAAACUCUUUGAGAUGUUUUUUGAUAUCUAUGUUAAAGCUUCUAUGCUAGAUAGAUAUCAAGCUUCUUUAUCUUGACCUGUUUAUUCUAUUGCCUUAAAAACUAUUUGCAGUUUCGGCCAGCCAUGGGGAUGAUAUAAGCAUCCAGUAUUCUAGUACUCCAGCUUUAACGUUUCUUGUUCUGGUAUAUAUGAAGGCAGCAUUCGUGCAAAACAUGUUUUUGGAGAGUGCAUUAAUAUAAAUACAUAUGUAGUAGUUCUCAAACCCUGUCAAAGUUCCUAAAUCAACGAGCAUUAUAUAUUUAUCAUUGACAUUGGUACUAUAAUUUUUGGCCAAUUAAACUCAUAUCAAGAGUAAGAAUCUGGGAUUGGAUCUUUAAUUGCCAACUGCACAAAUUUAUCUCGAGAUCAUGAUGGAUAUAGCCUACAACUAAAAAAAUUAUAGUCAACUAGUUGAUUUUAUGACCUCAAACUCUGGAUCUAAGUUUCUUUUCAUGCAAUUUUACUUUGAGGAGUCAUGAAUUGAUAUUAGUCCUAGCAAUGUCUUAAAGUUGCUAUACGUCCAACUUAACCUCAAAUUUGAGUUUGUUACCUCAGGCGCUUUCAUAUUUUCUUAGGUCAGGACUCAAAUUGAUCAUAAUUUUUUUUUCAGUAGGGCCGGAGACACGAGAGCAAAAAUCUCAGAGUUCAUCAACCAACAGGUAUCUGAGGAAAGAACCCAGCGUUUCAAUAAGAGGAAGGAGUUCAUAUCGGAUGUAUGUCAAGUUGGAAUGUGAAAACUAAAGAAAGUACUUGGGCAGAGUUCUGGUUCUAAGAAAAUCAGAGAUAUGGCCAUUAAUGCCUGGAAGACUGUCUGAAAAUGACAAAGAGGUGCGAUGAAGUACUUAUCAUAUUGUUGCUAGCAGACCUGUGUUUAUUUAAACAUAAUUUUGGCAUUUAAGCAUUCAUGUUUCUCUCUCCUACUUCAACAAACAUACACAAAUUUAAGCAAGUAAAAGUUUUUCCUGGUUCAUUGUAUCCUUCCAACUUUUGCUGCCUUACAUUGAAGCAAGUAAGCUGGAUAAGGAAAGAUAUAUCCAAGAAAUGGCUGCUUAUGAACAGCAUAAGAACAAAGAAACUACAACAAAUCCAAACUUGCACAGGGGUUUGGCCCCAAGUAUGAUUAACUUUGGUGCACGGAGUUGAUCAUGGUUAUCAUGUGACUUCACAAGCUUAUACUGGAAGCAACAUUCUCCCUAAUGCAUCCUUUAUUGAGUCCACGGUACAAAUAUUGAAUAAUGGUAAGACAAGUAACCCCAUAUUUCAGAUGGAUUGGUGCUCUUUUGCCUAGUCAAUUUCAGUUGCUACUUUGGUGGGUUUUGGAAGAUAUGUAUAGCUUUCGAUCUGUACGUAUCUUACAACCUUAGCAUGAUGCUUUUAAGAUGUAUAUAGCUUCUAGUCUUUGAAAACUAGUGUGUCAAGAAGCAGCAUUUGUAGGUUAGUUGGUAGUGGAGGGUUAUCUUGCUUUUUGAGGUGGCGUGUUGGUUUUAUUUUUGUCCUUGUUUUAUUAUUGUGAUUCUUUUAAUUUUUGACAUCUUAUCACCGUCUGUUGUUAUUUACUGUGUUUUAAUGGUCACAUAACUUACAUAAUUCUCUUUUUUAA